GACGAACGCUGGCGGCGUGCUUAACACAUGCAAGUCGAACGGAAAGGCCCUGCUUUUGUUGGUUGCUCGAGUGGCGAACGGGUGAGUAACACGUGAGUAACCUGCCCUUGACUUUGGGAUAACUUCAGGAAACUGGGGCUAAUACCGGAUAGGAGCUCCUGCUGCAUGGUGGUGGUUGGAAAGUUUCGGCGGUUUGGGAUGGUCUCGCGGCUUAUCCGCUUGUUGGUGGGGUAGUGGCUUACCAAGGCUUUGACGGGUAGCCUGCCUGGGAGGGUGAACGGCCACAUUGGGACUGAGAUACGGAGCAGAAUGCAACGGGAGGCAGCAGUGGGGAGUAUGGCACAAUGGGCGGAAGCGUGAUGCAGCAACGUCGCGAGCGGGAUGACGGCCUUCGGGUUAUAAACCGAUUUCGACUGUGACGAAGCGUGAGUGACGGUAAUGGGUAAAGAAGCACCGGCUAACUACGUG
rnacentral:rRNA from 1 species